rnacentral:rRNA from 1 species
GACCUCGAAUCAGGUAGGAAUACCCGCUGAACUUAAGCAUAUCAU